rnacentral:lncRNA from 10 species
AUGGCUCCCCAGAGGAAAGGGCCAGAAGGUUUUCACCAGCGCGGUGAGUGGCGAGGAUUUCAGGAAGAUUGGAAUUGAGGAGGAAGCCAUUUGCCUGCCUACAACCUCCUGUAUCCCCUUGUUGGUGACAGAACAAAAGAUAAAGCAGUCAGCAUUACCUGAAGUGACUUGGAGGUGAUUAAUACUCAGAGCUCCUGGAGCAGAAAGGUGGGCAUGCAAGUUGCAAUUAAGAUGAUAAAGAACGCAGCUUAGCAGCAAGCUGGGGUUUCUUCCCUUGGCGCGCACAGGCAUGAUGCUACAGCUCUGUACUGUCAACGCUGUCACCAGGCAUCACUUCCUUAUGGUUUACACUCCUCUCUUCCCAUCAUGUCAUGGGAUUCCAGGUGUGAGCCACCAUUCCUGGCCUUAUGCUACCAGGCUUUAGACAAUGGCUAUAAAACCCCUGUGUCAUUUUCCACCAGCUCUGUGUUCUCUCUCCCUCUUUCACAGCUACCUUCCAUUAGACCACAAGUGCUUUCUCCUUCCUUAGUAGUUACUCACAGACCACAGUUCUUGGUGGUCACCUGUAGACCUGGUUCUGAAGAAGCAGCAUAAUUGUUACCUGUUUUUCUUCCCAAUAGACUCUGAGCCUCCUUGACGGGAAAGAUUUUCCUUCUGGACCUCCAUCUCCCUGGUGAAAGAAAGGUGGCACAUGGCAAAUCUUCAACAAACGUUGGCUGUUUGAAUGGAUUGGUGAAGGAUGAAUGGAUAAAUGAAGUGCAGAUCCCUUGCAAUUGGAGUCUGUGUUAGGGUCUGUGUUAUACCUCCUGUAUCCUUGGUACCUGGCACUGUUCCUUGAACAGAGUUUUUAAACCCGUGGAUGCUCUUUCAGCAUGGAAGUCACUGGAAUCAGUAUUUAGGGGAAGAGUUAUGAGUUGUUCUUUAUUUCUCUAUUAGUUAUAACCAGCUUACUUCCACAAAGAGCUUAAAGAAAAAGAACAUUAAGACUAGGACUUUUUCUCAAACAUCUUACAGAUUACAGGAUUGUUCUUUUGAACUCUGAAAAAUAAGCUGGUUUUGCUGUCAACUUUAUGAUUGGGUCAGAAGUCAUCAGUGCUUUAACAACAGAAUCUUG